rnacentral:rRNA from 1 species
GAUCCUGGCUCAGAUUGAACGCUGGCGGCAGGCUUAACACAUGCAAGUCGAACGGUAACAUAAAGGAGUUUGCUUCUUUGAUGACGAGUGGCGGACGGGUGAGUAAUGCUUGGGAAUCUAGCUUAUGGAGGGGGAUAACUACGGGAAACUGUAGCUAAUACCGCGUAGAAUCGGGAGAUGAAAGUGUGGGACCUUCGGGCCACAUGCCAUAGGAUGAGCCCAAGUGGGAUUAGGUAGUUGGUGAGG